AAUAUCAUUUUUAAGCUUUUAAAAUAUCAAGUUUUAAAGAUUUAAUAGUUUAUGUAGUUAAGCUUGAACAUAUCUAUGAACUUUAUAAUAUUUACUAUAUGCCUUUUCUACGUUUCCUCUAUAUAUUUGAGCAAAUGGUAUGUUCCAAUGAGAGGCCCAAACAGAGCGCUGCGGUGCGUUUUACCGAAGUUCUACGUACGGAUAGAAUUACCUGCCGAGAUGUAUCUGCAAACGCACUUGGACGUGUAUGGGGAAUUUCCAGAACAGUUUUAAUACAAAAGCAUUCGUUGUAUAGAAAAGCUAACGGAAAUCUCUAUGGUACCCACAUUUAUAAAAGUAAAACUUCAUUUUAACAACGUGAAAUGUUCAGGUACUACCAAUGCAACACAGUUUUAAAUUUAAUUCCUAUUUACAGUACUGUAUGUUAACAUGCAUAUGUCUAUAUAUAACUAAAAGUGGAAUGUUUUGUGUGCUUGUGUUGGUAAAUAUUGUAGUUUUCUGUUAAUUUAGUAAUUGUAAUUGGGUGUUAAAAUGAGCAAAUAUAUUUAAAUAUGACUCAAUGGAUGUUAAUAUUUCUGUUUUAUGCAAUGAAAAAAUAUUUUCAUCUGCA